rnacentral:misc_RNA from 1 species
AAAAAUCUUUGUUGUUUUUCAUUCGUUGGUUCUACGGCCCCACACAAUGCUAGAUUGAUGUCUACAUUCACAAGGAACAAACAAUGGAAGCAAGCAUCAAGGGUGUGUGAGGAAGUUCUGUCAUGCCUACCAAAUUUCACCACCCUCUGUCAACCAACUAAUUCAUGGUGGGAUGACGAUGGUGUGAACUGUAAAGAGGCAGGUGGCUCAACUUCUCGAUCCAGUGGUGCGAAGCCUCAAUCAACAUUGUUCAGGGUGUUGUCAGCCAGAUUCGGCAUUAGCAGUAGCCCACGACUGUUCUAGCUGCCCCAAAAAUAUCAGUUGGCAUGAGGGAAGAUACAAACAACAUCUCUGGCCUGGUUAGCUAUGAGUGUCCCAAAGUCAUCAUGUAGGAGAGACACCAUGGAUUGGAUUUGCAAGGUGGAAAAAAAGAAAUACUUUAGAAUUUGUUGGUUCUUGCAUCUCAAUCCUUCUAUCUAAUGGAAAAAUUGAUUUGUUUUAGGAAUGUUGAUGCUUGCCUGC